rnacentral:lncRNA from 1 species
ACUGGUGUUCUGCAUUUAAUUUGUUGGCAGAAUGCUGGAGUUCUCAUUUGAAUUUUCUGUUUUAAGGUGUUUCCAAUUGUGUAUGAGUUAUUCUCUGUUGGCAAACUUCAUUUUCAUUUCAGUUAUUCUCUGUAUUUUAGUGUCCAGUCUUUUUUGUUUUCGUUCCAUGGUUGUUACGUGCGAGAGAUAUUGAUGUGCGAGUAGGGUUGCUGGUUUUAUCUGAAUAGUUCAGCUCACUACUGUUUCCUUACAUUAAUGUUUCUGUAUGACAUCUUUCUGUAUUACACGAUUCUGGAAAAGUUGGGACAACUUUGUGGUAUUGUAUUUGUGAUAUGCUGAUCAGAGGCUUGGUUUAGAGAAUUAUGCUAAUCUUUUGUCUUUUUUCUUCUUUUUUUUCUACAACUAUUUGCCACACUACCCCAUCAUUGUACUGUUUUCUUAUAUUUAGGUUUUUGACAUAUAAUUGACAGUGCGAAAGUUUACUCAAUUCUGAAGAAAGUGGACAGCUUUGUGGGGUUUUUUUCUAGCCGUGAUCUAAACGUCUUGAUAUGAAGGUGUCCCCUGCUAGUUUAGCAGUUUUUGCAUCAGGAGUGUGAGUGUGUAACAUACAAGAUUCUAAGCCUUUUGAAUUUAAUGGGUUUUGUUUCUUCCUUGAAUGUAGAUGCCCAUCUCUUUCUUGGAUAAUCAAGAUAUACACGUCUGUUUUGCAGUAAGCUGAUGACCUUGGAGGUUGCUGUUCUUAUUUUAAUGACCUACUGCUAUUAACGUAUCAAUUUUCUUCAAUGAGUGUCCUUCUUUGUUGUUUUUAUUUUUUCUUGGGUUUGAUGUAAGAUAAAUGAAUUGAAUUGUGAACGUGUUUUUCUGCAGCAUGGUUCUUCAAUAACUUUCUUAUGGAUCCUCUGCUUUUGUGAAAUGGUGAUUUCUAGUAAAAAAUAUUCAUUUCAAUCUUUUUUCAUUAAUUCUUAUUAUUUAUGCUUAUUCUCAUAUUGUAGCCAUCAAGAAUUAUUUCUAUAAAUUUAUUGAUAUAAUUCCUCAUUAGAUAAUAGAUAAUUGAGACGUGUGUUGUCGGUUUUGCAGCGAGCUAAAGUCCAAAUAGCGAUUCUUGAUUGAGUAGAUAAAGAACAGAGAGAGAACAAUCAGAUAUAUAAAUCUUGAUUGAGUAGAUAAGAACAGAGAACAACCAGAUAGAUAAAUCAAAUUUCUUCAAUGAAUCAUUCUUUUUUAAUUUUUAUUUCUUGGCUUUGAUGCAAAAUAAAUGAAUUGAACUUUGAACAUGUUUUCUGCAGCUUGGUUUGUCAAAAUAAUAACUUUCUUCAUAGCAUGGCGCCUCGAGAUUUGGUUAGAUAAUAGAUAAUUGAGACGCGUGUUGUCGAUUUUGCAGCGAGCUGAAGUCCAAAUAGCCAUUCUUGAUUGAACGGAUAAGAACAGAGAAUAAUCAGAUAGAUAAAUCGAAUUUCUUCAAUGAAUCGUUCUGUUUUAAUUUUUAUUUCUUGGCUUUCAUGCAAAAUAAAUUAAUUGAACUUUGAACGUGUUUUCUGCAGCUUGGUUUGUCAAAAUAAUAACUUUCUUUAUAGCAUGGAGCCUCGAGAUUUGGUUUGGCGGUAUUUAGUAAAAACAUUUGUUGCAAUUUUCUUUAUUGAUUCUUAUAUCAUAUGAUUUGCUAUUAACUCUUUGGUUCUGCAGGAGAAGAUGUGAUCUUAAUUUUUCAAUUCUAAAGUUUGCCUGUUGUGUUCAAUUCUCUUUUGUUUCUUGAUUUCUUGAUCUGUUGGCCAGGUUGUUCUUUCCAUGAUUGCUUAAUUUCGGGGUUGCUAUAAACGAGAAUAGGAGAUUGUUAGUGAUAUGCUUUUAUCACCGUCGUUAUCAACAAAUUCAGCAAUCACACUUCUCUCGACUCUUCUUUUAAAUCAGUUAUCAAGAAUUAUUUGUCUAAAUAAUGUAUAUAAUUCUUCAUAAUUGGAUAAUCGAGAUACACUUCUUAUCCAUUUUGCAGUGAGCUGAGAAGUCUUCUAUUCUAGCACAGAUAAGAACGGAGAAUGACACCAAUAGAUAAAUCAGUUUUUUUUUCCCAUUAGUUGUUCUUCAUUUUUAUUUCUUGGAUUCACAUAUAUGAAUUGAAAUUUGAACAUGUUUGCUAUGUCCGUGAUUUGUCAAGUUAAUAAAAUUGUACAUAGCAUGGAGCCUAUCAUUUUUGAUUUGGUGAUAUCUGUUCAAUAUUUUUUUGUUUUAAAAUUUCUUCAUCCACUCUGAGAGUAUAUAUAUGUUGAUUUGUUAUUUACUCUUUGGUGUUUCAGGAGAAGUAGUCAAUGAACAUAUGAUUUCGUCGGGUUCUGUAUCUUCGUCUUCUGUGAUUUUCAUGUGUUGCGUUCGUAUUCUUUUUUUGUUGAUUAUUUGGUUCUCUUAAUUCUGAAGUUUGAUUUGUUUAUUGUUGGUUUCAAUUUUGGAGUUUGUUGUUUUGUUUAAUUUGUUGGCAGAAUGCUGGAGUUCUCAUGUGAAUUUAUUGUUUUAAGGUGUUUCCAAUUGAACAUCAGAUAAUGGUAAUAAUGUUUUGCGAAACUUGACACAUGAUUACCACGCCAGGUUGAAUUGUGAAUUGAAACUGUCUGUUUUCUACCAUGUAGUUUUUUUUACAUUCUUCUUGAUUGCGAAACUUGCUAUGUAGUAUCAAGCAAUCAGGUUCAUUUUGGCAAAAUCUUCUUGAUUGUGAAUCAUUUUAC